AUAUUUAAUUCCCCUGGUGAUUUCCCUCUUUAAGUUUACGUUAUGAUGCAGUUAUGCGUGCUGUCUCCUUUAAGAGUUUGUGCAUGCGCACGAUAGAGAGAGUGCGCGUCAGAGGGGAACAGAGAGCGCGCUGAUUGAAGCAGCAGUUGUGUGACUGCACCGAGUGGAUGACCUAAGUCAGUGUUUAUAUUAGUGUCUGUUGCUGCAUAUGAGAGAUCUCCGGUGGGGGAGGGGAUUCAGGCCUACUUCGACGGAGAUUGAGCAGGGGAGAACAAGCUUGUGAGAUCGCACGUGCCAGUUUCCACGUGAUUGAUAAUCCGGAGUCUCAUAUAACAGCACAUAUAAGCCACUGCCGUUGUUUUGCACACCUUUAUUGGUUCUUUAUCAUUGGUUGCACUAUUUCAAGUCAAAUUGGGGCUUGUGAUCUGGUGUUUUGAUUAGAGGUUAUUAUUGUAAAGGACUUAUUUUUAUUCUUUACAUUUCUUUUUAUACCUUAUUUCACUUUCUGUGCCCAUUGAAGUGAAUUGGGUAACGUCAUUUAUUUUGUUUUAUUAUUGUUUUAUUUGACUUUUCUUGUUUAACUGGAUUGAAGUCCUGAGAAAAUACAAUUUUUCCCCCUGAACCAAACAUUAAUGCUGGGUCUCCAUUUGAGGCUCAGUCAAGAAUAAAAGAAUCCUUUUCAGUAGAUGUCUUGGCAUUGUCUUUUCCUUAGUAUAUUAGAAGGACGUCAAGCCGGCCACACAU